rnacentral:rRNA from 1 species
UAGGGAAUCUUCCACAAUGGACGCAAGUCUGAUGGAGCAACGCCGCGUGAGUGAAGAAGGUUUUCGGAUCGUAAAGCUCUGUUGUUGGUGAAGAAGGAUAGAGGCAGUAACUGGUCUUUAUUUGACGGUAAUCAACCAGAAAGUCACGGCUAACUACGUGCCAGCAGCCGCGGUAAUACGUAGGUGGCAAGCGUUGUCCGGAUUUAUUGGGCGUAAAGCGAGCGCAGGCGGAAUGAUAAGUCUGAUGUGAAAGCCCACGGCUCAACCGUGGAACUGCAUCCGAAACUGUCAUUCUUGAGUGCAGAAGAGGAGAGUGGAAUUCCAUGUGUAGCGGUGGAAUGCGUAGAUAUAUGGCAGAACACCAGUGGCGAAGGCGGCUCUCUGGUCUGCAACUGACGCUGAGGCUCGAAAGCAUGGGUAGCGAACAGG